rnacentral:rRNA from 1 species
CAGCUUACCUGCAAGUCGAACGCGAAAGUUUUCUUUGGAAGACGAGUAGAGUGGCGCACGGGUGAGUAACGCGUAAAUAAUCUACCCUGAUGUCAGGAAUAACCAGCCGAAAGGCUGACUAAUACCUGUUAUAUGAUUACCUGUCGGGGUAAUCAGGAAAGGAGGCCUCUUCUUGAAAGCUUCCGCAUCGGGAUGAGUUUGCGUACCAUUAGCUAGUUGGUGGGGUAACGGCCUACCAAGGCAACGAUGGUUAGCGGGUCUGAGAGGAUGAUCCGUCACACUGGCACUGAAACACGGGCCAGACUCCUACGGGAGGCAGCAGUGAGGAAUAUUGCGCAAUGGGGGCAACCCUGACGCAGCGACGCCGCGUGAGCGAGGAAGGCCUUCGGGUCGUAAAGCUCUGUCAGAUGGGAAGAAGUGUUAUGCGGUUAAUACCCGUAUAAUUUGACGGUACCAUCAAAGGAAGCACCGGCUAACUCCGUGCCAGCAGCCGCGGUAAUACGGAGGGUGCGAGCGUUGUUCGGAAUCACUGGGCGUAAAGGGCGCGCAGGCGGUCUGUUAAGUCAGAUGUGAAAGCCCACGGCUUAACCGUGGAAGUGCAUUUGAAACUGGCAGGCUUGAGUACCAGAGGGGAAAGUGGAAUUCCCGGUGUAGAGGUGAAAUUCGUAGAUAUCGGGAGGAAUACCGGGUGGCGAAGGCGACUUUCUGGCUGGAUACUGACGCUGAGGCGCGAAAGCGUGGGGAGCAAACAGGAUUAGAUACCCUGGGUAGUCCACGCCGUAAACGAUGUGCACUAAAAUGUUUGGGAGGGUAUUGAUCCCCUUUCGU